rfam:Salmo salar isolate Sally breed double haploid chromosome ssa24, whole genome shotgun sequence.
UGGCUCAGUUGGUAGAGCAUGGUGUUUGCAACGCCAGGGUUGUGGGUUCCAUUCCCAC